rnacentral:rRNA from 1 species
GAUGAACGCUAGCGGGAGGCCUAACAUAUGCAAGCCGAGCGGUAGAGAUUCUUCGGAAUUUUGAGAGCGGCGUACGGGUGCGGAACACGUGUGCAACCUGCCUUUAUCAGGGGGAUAGCCUUUCGAAAGGAAAAUUAAUACCCCAUAAUAUAUUAAGUGGCAUCACUUGAUAUUGAAAACUCCGGUGGAUAACGAUGGGCACGCGCAAGAUUAGAUAGUUGGUAGGGUAACGGCCUACCAAGUCAAUGAUCGUUAGGGGGCCUGAGAGGGUGAUCCCCCACACUGGUACUGAGACACGUACCAGACUCCUACGGGAGGCAGCAGUGAGGAAUAUUGGACAAUGGGUGAGAGCCUGAUCCAGCCAUCCCGCGUGAAGGAUGACGGCCCUAUGGGUUGUAAACUUCUUUUGUAUAGGGAUAAACCUUUCCACGUGUGGAAAGCUGAAGGUACUAUACGAAUAAGCACCGGCUAACUCCGUGCCAGCAGCCGCCGUAAUAC